ensembl:lncRNA
CAGAAACGCGCAGAUAGAAAUAGAGUACAAAAUAUGGCUGUGGAGCAGAAACUUACCUUCUAAGGUAAAUAGAGAAAUAGAUACAUACUCUACAGGGUAGGGUGAAAGGAAAGUAUUAGAACACGCACAGACUCCUGUGCUCCUUUCCCCCCCCCCCCCAAUAGACAUUAAGUAAAUAGCUACUAUGUACCAAGUCUGUGGAGGCGCUGAGAACACAAACAUGAAGAAGCUGCCAGAUCCUCAAGGAGCCCAGCCUGGUGGUGGUGGUGAUGGGGAGGCGGGGGAGGGAGGAGAGAGGGAGCCUAAGGAGUGGAGGCUGGCGGAUGAGAUUAGACGGGAGGGCUGAAAAACUGAAUAUACAGUUGAUAUUUGGGGAUACAGAUAUGUGCUGGCUUCUGUGACAGAAAUCUCCCCCUGAACCUCUGGGGGAAAAAAUUAGCUUCAUUUGCCAAAUUUGGCCAGAUAUGACGCUGUUCUACAGAUGUCCUCUCGAAUAGGCUUAAAAAUCCUCCUCUCGCUUCUGGCCCUCGAUUUCCCCACCAUUAGGGUGUCUGGCAAGGGAGGGGGCAGGUUGAAAACUGCACCCACGUUUGCAGCCUCGGCUCUCUGCUGGAGACAGGAAUCCAGGGCUUUGCCGUCGUCAUAGCAACUAGGAGUUCCGCGGUCCCCCACCUUCCUCCAACUCCUACUUCCCCCGCCGGCCCGGCAGAGCCGCCGCUUCUCUCGCGAGAUUUGAGCACAGUGCCGAGCGGCCCAGAGGUGAUCUCACCCGAGACUUGCGGAGGGAGGGAGUGAAGGAGGGGAAGGAAUGGGGCGGGGAGGCGGGGAGGCGAGGGGAGUGGAAGGGAGGGAAGGGCGAGUGAGGCGCCGCCACCGUCGGCAACUUUGUGAGCGAGUUCAGUGCGUGCGUGAGCGAGUAAGCGAAAAAGGAGAGCGCGCGGCGGACGCGCCCCGGACGCGCGGUGGCACCGGGAGGCCGGGCAGAGCGGUUCAGUUUCAAAUGUGAAUGACAGUAAACUAAUAUCCAAGAUUCCUGUAUAAGAAGUCGAUCAAAAGGACUGUACUUUCAGGUAAGGAGCUAAUUUUACUUUAUCUUUAAUAAUACACAGCUGCUUUGGCAGGAGUCUGGCAUGUCCCCUACCCCCUUUCACAUGAAUAGAAGUAUAGGUGAAUUUUUUAAAAGGCACAAAUUGAUUACCCUAGACAGGUUUCCACCUGUUUGGGAUUAUAAGAGGUGUCAGCCGAGUUGGCCACUUAAAACCAUUAGAGAAGCAAUCAAUAUGUGAUGGCAGUUAACACACAUAUACACUCAUAAUGGCCUAAAGUUGUAUUUGAGUUUUUUGUUUUUGUUUUUUUUUUUAGAUGGAGGAAGGAAAUCAUCCUUUCUUCUAAUACCUACCCUUUCCUUCCCAUAAUUGAUCGAUUACUCUGUCAUCUAUUUUCCAUGUAUUUGAAGUUUAAACACAUAGAUGAUUUUCAGAUUAAUUUCUCUACCUCUGUGGCAUCCCAAAGUACAAGAAUAGCUCUGGGCAUAAGAGAUCAUAGGAAAAGCCCUGUACUUGAAGUAAUUUGGAAUUUACAGGGCUAGUAUUUAGAAAUGAAUUUUCCCCUGGAGGAAAGGGAACUGUGCAGACCGGACACAAACAGCUCCCCCCAGUCAAAAAAACAUUUGCAUAGAAAACAUUGUGCUGAGUUGGGAUUGUCAUAGUUUUAUGGAUACAAAUAAAAGCAUAUUUCAUAGAAGUCAUAUAUUGGCUUUUUAAUCAAUUACCUAGUUUUUCUAAUUGAUUUUGAGGCAUUGAGUCCUCCUCCCACCCCCAUAUUAGCCUUUGCACCUCAUUACGAUGGUUAUUUUUCAAGUUUAAAAUAUGUAAAAUUCAAUUUUAAAUUAAUAGCAUCCUUUGAAGAAGGACUGUGGCAACUGGGUGAGUAAUCCAAAAAUUACUGCUGAGUAAAGCAUUGUAGGAUGGCUCUUGUAGCAGGCUCUGUCUCCUGACUGUGUUACCAGUGAACAGAAAUUAGUUUGCAAAACAUGAGCACACCAGCAAAGAGAGCUCAGUAGAGACAAACUGGCUUGGGAUUUAUAACAAGCUGCAGAUGGUGUAUGGACAUAAUUUCUUUCCAGUUCAUCCUGGGAUCAGCUUAGUCAGACCUCUGUAGUAACUUUUUUUUUUUUUUUUUUUUUUAACGUUUAUUUAUUUUUUGAGACAGAGAGAGACAGAGCAUGAAUGGGGGAGGGUCAGAGAGAGAGGGAGACACAGAAUCUGAAACAGGCUCCAGGCUCUGAGCUGUCAACACAGAGCCCGAAGUGGGGCUCGAACUCAUGGACUGCGAGAUCAUGACCUGAGCCGAAGUUGGAUGCUCAACCAACUGAGCCACCCAGGCGCCCCUGACCUCUGUAGUAACUCUUAACUCACCUCCCUGCACGGCUCUUUGCAAGGGUGAGAUCCCCUUACUCUCUGCUGAGAACUCUCCUGGGCCUCUCCCACUGCCUGUCACAGCAAUUCUCAAACUUUUGGGUCUCAGAAACCCUAGCAUUAAAAUUGUUGAAGCCCCAAGAGAACUUUAGUGUUGAUGUUGAUUAUAUCCAUUACUACUUACUGUAUUGAAAUGGAGAAAAAUUUAGAGCAUUAGAAUAUAUAAGCUUGCAUUCCCUUAGCUGCAGAGUGAUGACAUCAUUGCCCCUUAGCUGCAGAGUGAUGACAUCAUUAGUCCUGCAGUUUCUGGCAAACACUGUACAUUUAGGAGAGAAAGAAAGAAAAGGCAAAUUGUAUGCUAUUAUAUUUAAAAGUUAGAUUUAUUGAGGCAUAACUUAUAUACAGUGAAAUUCACCUUUUUAAGUGUUCAGUUCUUCUCUGGGUUUUGACAAAUGCAUUGUGGUUGUAGAAGAUAAAGAACAUUUCCAUCACUCUAGAAUGUUCCCCUGCCUUAGCCUUAUACCCUCUGACCUUUUUCUGUCCUGUAGUUGUGCUUUGUCCCAAAUGUCAUGUAAAUGGAAUCGCAGAGUCGUAGCCUUUUGAGGCUGGCUUCUUUCAUUUAACAUAACACAUUUGAGAUUCAUCCAUGCUGUUGUGUAUAUCACUGAUUCUUUUUUUUUUUUUUUUUUCUUUAAUUGCUGAGUCUUAUUCCAAUGUAUGAAAAUACUUCUGUUUGCCCAUUUACCAGUUGGAGAACAUUUGGGCUGUUCCUAGGUUUUGGUGGUGAUGUGUCCUAACGUUAAUAUUAAAACAGUUUUAACCUUAACCUUUAACCCUGCGAGGGUCUCAAGAAUCCCCAGGAGCUGGAGACCUCUCUGAGGACCUCUGGCCAUGUUGCCUGCGUGUGAUGUGCCCUCUGUCUAGAACGCCAGGACGUAGCUCGAGGGUCUCCUCUGUGCAGGCCUUUCUAAGCCCUCUUUCUACCGUCACUCCUGGGCCCCAUGUCUGGUCUGCUCACCACCAUCUUUGAACUCUGCUGUGCCUGCUCCCAGGGCUCGGCAGUUACUUGAGGAUGUGGCAGCUUCCUCACCUCUGAGGGCGAUGCCUCCACUCUCGGUCCCAGCACAUGCCUGGUACAUGUUUGAAUGAAUAAAUAAUACUUCCUUUACAUAUGUGAGGCAUUUUAUUACUUAUAAGAGAUUUUCUCAUAAAACAUUCAUCCCUCAUUUUUAGCUCUGCAAAGUAUAUAUAGCAAAGUGAUUUUUUAAAUAUCUUUUAUUUUUAUUUUCAUCAGAUAAGGAUAUCUGUGGUCUUUACCAAGCUGUAAUUUAGAAUAACCCGGGAAGCUUUUAAUAAACAGAUUAAAUGCUAAUCUCUGGAGAUCAGGCUUGAGUUAGUACUAUUAUUUAAAAAAACAUCACUGUUGAACCUGAUGUGCAGCCCACAGAGAACCAUUGUCCUAGAACUUGGUUUACUGUGAAGUCUUAGCGAUGACGUCGUUCAGACUGGAACCCUGAUCCUUGACUCCUACUGGAAUGCCUUUUCCUCCACACUCCGGACUCUCCCGUGACUCUCCCGUGAAUAGAAGCACUAUAGAGAUUUAGAGAGCCUUGUUGUAAGAUGACUGUGUUUUCAAUUUGUGUGUUUUCAAUUUAUGGUGUUCUGGUGUGAAGACCAGAACAGUGAAUUUAGGAUGGGGGUGGAGCGGACUGUGUUUCCGUUUUGACUCUGCAUUUAUUAACCUUGGAUUAAUAAAUACUUAAGUUUGUUCUCAGGUUUUUUUUUUUUUUUUUUUUUUUGAGAGAGAACUUGUGCCCAUGCGAGUGGGGGAGGGGCAGCGGGCAUAAGAGAAUCUUAAGUGGGCUCCAUGCCCAGCAUGAGCCCGGACUCGAGGCUCACUCCCACGACUGUGAGAUCGUGACCUAAGCCGAAAUCAAGAGUUGGGAGCUUAACCAACUGAGCCACCCAGGCGCCCCAGUGUCCAUUCCUAUUUUUGAAAUAAGGAUACUACCUUAAAUUCUAGAAGUUUAUUGUGGGGAUCCAAUUAGAUACCGUGUUAAGAGACUUUAAAGGAUUUAUAUAAAGGAUUGCAAAAUCCUUUUGUAAACUAUAAAAUGCUUUCUAAGACUUAUUUUUACUUGAUUUUAGCCUAGUCUAUUUAUUGGUUGAAUUUCCUUGAGGCUCAUGAGUUAAACAAGUAAUAUAAAAAUACGGUGUCACUGAAAUAGUGAAAUAAAAGAAUUAUGCAGAAUAAAACCAAGAGGUUGUCAUUGGUUGCAUAGUUUUGAUGCUUUGUGUAUGAAUUAAGUGCAUAAAUAUGUAUACACGUGACAUACUAUUUUUUUGGGUUGUAUCAACAUAGAGUCUUAUAUAUUUGUGUUCUUUUUAGUUUGAGAGCAUGUUUUUGAUCAUUCUGUAUUAGAAUAUAUAAAUCCCUCUCAUCCUCUCAUUCUUCUUAUAGCUGCAUGAUUUUUUCAUAUAUUUUCAUAUUG